GACGAAGGGGGCUAGCGUUGUUCGGAAUUACUGGUCGUAAAGCGUGUGCAGGUGGUUGUCAUAGUCAGGUGUGAAAGCCUUGAGCUCAACUCAAGAAAUGCACUUGAUACUGGGCAGCUAGAGGACCGGAGAGGAUAGUGGAAUUCCCAGUGUAGUGGUGAAAUACGUAGAGAUUGGGAAGAACACCAGUGGCGAAGGCGGCUAUCUGGACGGUUUCUGACACUAAGACACGAAAGCGUGGGGAGCAAACAGG
rnacentral:rRNA from 1 species